rnacentral:rRNA from 1 species
UAUGCACGCUGGCGGCGUGCCUAAUACAUGCAAGUCGAGCGAACAGACGAGGAGCUUGCUCCUCUGACGUUAGCGGCGGACGGGUGAGUAACACGUGGAUAACCUACCUAUAAGACUGGGAUAACUUCGGGAAACCGGAGCUAAUACCGGAUAAUAUAUUGAACCGCAUGGUUCAAUAGUGAAAGACGGUUUUGCUGUCACUUAUAGAUGGAUCCGCGCCGCAUUAGCUAGUUGGUAAGGUAACGGCUUACCAAGGCGACGAUGCGUAGCCGACCUGAGAGGGUGAUCGGCCACACUGGAACUGAGACACGGUCCAGACUCCUACGGGAGGCAGCAGUAGGGAAUCUUCCGCAAUGGGCGAAAGCUUGACGGAGCAACGCCGCGUGAGUGAUGAAGGUCUUCGGAUCGUAAAACUCUGUUAUUAGGGAAGAACAAAUGUGUAAGUAACUAUGCACGUCUUGACGGUACCUAAUCAGAAAGCCACGGCUAACUACGUG